GAUGAACGCUAGCGAUAGGCUUAACACAUGCAAGUCGAGGGGCAGCAUGCUCUUAGCUUGCUAAGCCUGAUGGCGAACGGCGCACGGGUGCGUAACGCGUAUGCCACUUGCCUCACAGAGGAGGAUAACCCGUCGAAAGACGGACUAAUACCGCGUACACUCUAUGUUGGGCAUCCAAUGUAGAGGAAAUGAAAUUCGCUGUGCGAUUGGCAUGCGUCCCAUUAGCUAGUUGGUGAGGUAACGGCUCACCAAGCCGACGAUGGGUAGGGGAACUGAGAGGUUGAACCCCCACAGUGGUACUGGGACACGGACCAGACUCCUACGGGAGGCAGCAGUGAGGAAGAUUGGUCAAGGGGAGAGAGCCUGAACCAGCCAAGUCGCGUGAAGGAUGACUGUCUUAUGGAUUGUAAACUUCUUUUAUACGGGAAUAACAAGAGUCACGUGUGGCUCCCUGCAUGUACCGGAUGAAUAAGCAUCGGCUAACUACGUG
rnacentral:rRNA from 1 species